rnacentral:tRNA from 1 species
GCCUGGAUAGCUCAGGGGUAGAGCGCGUCCUUGGUAAGGACGAGGCCAUGGGUUCAAUUCCCAUUCCAGGCU